AUUGAACGCUGGCGGAAUGCUUUACACAUGCAAGUCGAACGGCAGCACGGACUUCGGUCUGGUGGCGAGUGGCGAACGGGUGAGUAAUACAUCGGAACGUGCCCAAUCGUGGGGGAUAACGUAGCGAAAGCGACGCUAAUACCGCAUACGAUCUAAGGAUGAAAGCGGGGGAUCGCAAGACCUCGCGCGAUUGGAGCGGCAGAUGGCAGAUUAGGGAGAUGGUAGGGUAAAGGCCUACCAAGCCGACGAUCUGUAGCUGGUCUGAGAGGAUGAUCAGCCACACUGGGACUGAGACACGGCCCAGACUCCUACGGGAGGCAUCAGUGGGGAAUUUUGGACAAUGGGCGAAAGCCUGAUCCAGCCAUUCCGCGUGCAGGAUGAAGGCCCUCGGGUUGUAAACUGCUUUUGUACAGAACGAAAAGGUUUCUACUAAUACUAGGAGCUCAUGACGGUACUGUAAGAAUAAGCACCGGCUAACUACGUGCCAGCCGCCGCGGUAA
rnacentral:rRNA from 1 species